GACGAACGCUGGCGGCGUGCUUAACACAUGCAAGUCGAACGGUGAAGGGGUCUGCUUUUGUGGGCCCUGGAUGAGUGGCGAACGGGUGAGUAACACGUGAGUAACCUGCCCCCUUCUUCUGGAUAACCGCAUGAAAGUGUGGCUAAUACGGGAUAUUCUGGGUCUGUCGCAUGAUGGGUCUGGGAAAGAUUGCGCCUUUGGGUGUUUUUGGUGGGGGAUGGGCUCGCGGCCUAUCAGCUUGUUGGUGGGGUGAUGGCCUACCAAGGCGGUGACGGGUAGCCGGCCUGAGAGGGUGGACGGUCACACUGGGCCUGAGACACGGCCCAGACUCCUACGGGAGGCAGCAGUGGGGAAUAGUGCACAAUGGGCGCAAGCCUGAUGCAGCGACGCCGCGUGAGGGAUGGAGGCCUUCGGGUUGUAAACCUCUUUCGCCAGUGAAGCAGGCCUGCUCCUUGUGGGUGGGUUGACGGUAGCUGGAUAAGAAGCGCCGGCUAACUACGUG
rnacentral:rRNA from 1 species